UCUCUCUCUCUCUCUCUCUCUCUCUCUCUCUCUCUCUCUCUCUCUCUCUCUCUCUCUCUCUAUAAGCGGGGACUAAUCGAGGCCAGUGCACACACCUCUCGGAGAAUGGGUGAAAACGUGGGGGAGGGGGAGAGAGAGAGAGAGAACGUUCGGUGAAACUCGUGGAGGUAGCGAUGAAUGUGGAAGUAAAGAGAAAGAGGAAGGGUGAGGUUAGAGGGUUGAGGAGGAGGUGGUGAGGAACUUCUCUCGAGCUGUCGACGGGCCUCGAGUAUUAUUCUCGGUAUUCUAGUGUAACACUCAACGCCGUUUGUAGAGGAGAGGAGGAGAAGGAAGAGA